rnacentral:misc_RNA from 1 species
UCAAACUUGGUCAUUUAGAGGAAGUAAAAGUCGUAACAAGGUUUCCGUAGGUGAACCUGCGGAAGGAUCAUCACCGAGAUUAAGGGGGAGAUGGUGUGUGAUGAUCGAGAUAUCGAUCAUGAUCAUCAUCUCCUUAACACCCCACUCAUGUGUGCAUGGUAUAGGCGCGGUUGAUGGCAAUAUAUGUUGUUGUCACACACGCCUCUUAUAUAUAUAAACUAGAUCUUUAUGGCAUAUAUUUAUUUAAUAAUCUCAACAACCUAACACAACUUUUAACAAUGGAUCUCUUGGCUCUCGCAUCGAUGAAGAACGCAGC